rnacentral:rRNA from 1 species
GUCUACGGCCAUACCACCCUGAACGCGCCCGAUCUCGUCUGAUCUCGGAAGCUAAGCAGGGUCGGGCCUGGUUAGUACUUGGAUGGGAGAUU